AAGACGACAGAGAAAGCGUAAAGAAAAAGGAGAGAAAGAAGAAUAUUUAAGCAAACAGAAAAUUUGACUUUUGUAUCCAAAAAGUCAAACCUACAACAAAGGGACAAUAUGCAAUCCAUCUACUUUCUAAUUCUUGCCUGAUACAAAUAGUAUUUGCUGUUCGCUUCUCUUGAAAGGCAGAAAGAUCACAGAUAAUAAUCUUCCAAAGUGUGAUCAUUCAGUCUUGAAACAUGUCAAGAAAUAUAUUUUGGUAACUUACAAAGUUGCUAAUCUUACAGUUGGACUACAAAAUUAUGUAUACGGACGACUAAAAUGUAAAAUGUUCGGAUGGUACAUUAGCGACAAUCGAACUCGCAAACUUUUAAACAACAGAUCAGAAAAUAUUCUUAUAUUCUAAUAUUAGCACCAACGUAACACACUGCUUAAGCAACAUACAAUUUACUGAUAUAUUCGCCAUGCAUCUUUCUUCUUUGACGGAUUCACUUACCCUCCCACACUUCAUUUUCUGAUGUAUGUAAAGGAUAUACAUCAUUUUAAUAUCUAUAUGCGCAGCUAAAUUAUAUAUAUACACACAGAACUACAUACACAGAAUUACACAUUUACACCCCCCACCGACA
rnacentral:lncRNA from 1 species